GUCCAGACUCCUACGGGAGGCAGCAGUAGGGAAUAUUGCUCAAUGGGCGCAAGCCUGACCCAGCAACGCCGCGUGAAGGAAGAAGGCUUUCGGGUUGUAAACUUCUUUUCUGAGGGACGAAGCAAGUGACGGUACCUUAGGAAUAAGCCACGGCUAACUCCGUGCCAGCAGCCGCGGUAAUACGGAGGGUGCAAGCGUUAAUCGGAAUUACUGGGCGUAAAGUGCUCGUAGGCGGUAUGUCAAGUCAAGGGUGAAAUCCCCGCGCUCAACGUGGGAACUGCCUUUGAAACUGGCAAACUGGAGUGUGUGAGAGGAUAGUGGAAUUCCAGGUGUAGGAGUGAAAUCCGUAGAUAUCUGGAGGAACAUCAGUGGCGAAGGCGACUAUCUGGCACAUAACUGACGCUGAGGAGCGAAAGCGUGGGUAGCAAACAGGAUUAGAUACCCUUGUACG
rnacentral:rRNA from 1 species